rnacentral:lncRNA from 1 species
ACGAUUUUUCAUUUUCACUAAUAAAAGAAGGUAGAGCAAAGACUUUCCAGGCUCUGUCCUGUGAGGGCUGAUUGGGGGAGGUUUUGGUGCAGAAUUCAUUUGACUAUAGUUAGCCUGCGUCUGUGUAGCUGAAGGAAUUGAUGCCCGUAGGGAAUGGUCUUGCUGUCUACUCUGCUACUUCCCUGGUAUCAUAUGGCCUCCCUCCCAGUUUUAGAUCCUCAAAGGACUAAAACCACAAAAAUCGUUUUAUUGACAGGUUUUUCUUUUUCCAAAGAUUUCAAGGAUGUUAUAAAAUCAAAGGCCUAGAUAUGAAAGAAAGCUGGUCAUUCAUCCAUAUGCAUUGCAUCUCACAAAGGUGAAAUGCACGCCUUCUAAGAAUAAUUGGAGCAAAGGUGCUAACAGGUACAAACCUUAGAAGUUGGCGAUCCUAUCAGCGCGUUUUGUUUACGUUCCAUUACGUGACUCAUGCACUUCAUCAAACUACUGGAUACUCAAGUUACAGAAGACAAUGGCUUAUUGUGACUAUCUUAAAAAAAAAAAAAAAAAAAAAAAAGAAAGAAAGAAAGGAAAAAGAAAACCUUGAAAGUUGUAACCUUUUUUUCUACUCUCAUUUUGUGAUAAAAUCAAAGAGAAUCCAUUACUCUCCUGUAAUUUUUAGUGCUUGUCAGAAGAUCCUAUCCACACAGCGUCGAGGCAUGAAACUGUCUCCUAAAUGUUCCGUAACUCACCAGCUACAUUUUAGUCAUUAAACUAAACACCUUUAAUUGAUCCACUGACUUUUUUCUUCCUCGUGGAUCUCAAAUACUUAUUGUUUGUAUCAGCAAGUCCAGUUUCUAUCACAAAGGAAGAAAAAGACUAAGAGUAUUUACUUUAAAAUUCACAAAAAUAGCUUUUCUGUGUGUGAGUGGCCACAAGAGAAGACAGGAGGAGCCAGGGUCUGUCUUCCUGGGACAUUGUACAUCAUUCUGCACUUUACUAAGUGAAGGCGUCAUUUACCAUUUUGGAGACAGGCCCUUACAACAUGCAUAAAUGAAAGGUAUGCAGUAGAAUAAAAUAGAAAGUAUAUUCCUAGAAAGUCAGGGAGUACAGUCUCAACCUAAUAAAGAAUUUUAGGGCUGUGAAUUGUAAGAAAGAGAGCAGGAGCAAGAAAGCAGGGUAAAUUUCCCUAGUUAGUCUACGGGUGCUUUGUAUUGAAAGAAAAAGUUUCUUUUGGGAAAUGGUGACAAAUCAUGUUGUUAUAUUUAAACUUAGUUUUAAAAUAUUGAAAGGUCUUUCAUGGACUAAUGCUUAUUGACAAUAUGAAUGUGACAAUUAUAUAUGAAUAUACAUAUGAAUAGUACAGACUAAUCUUAAACAUUGAAACUGAAUCUCACUGACUCAUUUUUCCUGGCUAAGUGGUAUCAUCACAUGGAUAGUAUGGUUUUCCUUAGUAUUUUAAAACCAAUUUUAAUAAACUUAAAUUUGGAAAUCAAUAGUCUGCUAUAAAGCAACGGAAAACAUUAAAAAUAAAAUUUUAAAGAAAAAAAUUAGACACAUUUAUAUAAGAAUAGUUUAUAUAUAUACCUUUGCUUGUUGAAUGGUUAAAUAUUAAUAUAAUGUGUUUUCAGAGUAGGAAUGUAAUACUUGCUUUUCAAGGCAAAAAUUAAUUAUUUUUUAAUCAAAAAUUAUUUUUUCUUAAAAAUUAUUUUCCUCUUCACUUUACAUUUUUUGUAAAAUUUCUCCCACUGAAAUGUAUCCAUUAUUGUCAAAAUAAGUUUGAAACAAGGAAAAUAAUCAAAUUAAUAAUUAUAAAUUUAUAUUCUACAUCCAGUUAGGUUGCUAGUAUAACAAACAUUUGAUUUAAAAAUAAAAUUAAUUUUCACCAAAAACCUAUAAACAUACAAAAGAACUUUCAUAAUGGCUUUAGUCACAUUAAUGGAGUGAAUUAUAGUACUGGGGAAAAUAUUUUAAUGACAUAUUAUUAACUCUUUCCCACAAGACUUUUUUUCUUUUUUCCCAUAUCUUAAUGUAAGAAACAUAAGAUCCAAUUUACAUCAGCCUUCAGAUAAUAUCAUACAGAUUCUGACAAAGACAUCUGUGUCCUUUCUUCAGAAAAGCACAAUCACAUUUCAAAGAGGCAUCAACCACAGGACAGUCCUUUGUUUUAAGUGAUGUAGACCAAAGCUCACCAAUUCUCUGGGCAAAAAAAAGCCAGUGUAGAUCAAAGCUCUUACAGGGAGGCUUCCAUUGUGCAGGAACACCAGAUAGCUGUUCCAUUUCAAUUAUUCUUUGACUAAUAGGUAUUUUAGGAAACAGAUCUUUGCAAAAUACAGGAGGUUUGAGUUACACACAGACUUAAUUUUUAAGAACAAGCAUUUAUUAAAAUCUGAUAACGAGCCGUGUUUAAUUUUCCUCACUGUGCUGUGUAGUUUGAUUUAAGCAGGGUUUGCCCAAGAAUGUUUAUUCUCUUAUUGAUUUAACACAGAUUUGUUUAGUGCCAGCUUUGUGUAUUCAAAUCACAGUUGUGAUCUCUCAUUUUCAACUUUUUAGCUGAGAUGAGAAAACCAGAGUGAAACUUCCCAGCAUUACCACAGUAAUUCCUAUAGAUUCCAUCUUUGAAUGCUGCAAGGGAAUUGAGUGAAAGGACAAAAAGCUUACAAAUUUCAGGGUGGACAUUAAUUUCUCUAGUUGAAAUAUGAGCAAAUUGACUAUUUGCUCACACAGUAGAAACUUUGAGUCUGUUUCCUGGGGUUGGGGAAGUGGUGCAAGUGAAAGAAAGCUUACCCAGGUGUGUAAGUCUCUGGGUUUGGUUUCCUGCACAAAUACAGAGGAACUGUAUGCCUGACACUAGACCUUACAAAGAAUGUAAAGAUGAACCCAUUAAUGAGAAGCACUUUACUGUGACUAAAGAGAAGAAUUACAACCCAAAAUGAUAGACAACAGUAGAUUUCACAUUCCCCAUAGAUUACUUUCCAUCCUGAUGUCAAUGAAAGAUGCCAGCAGUUCACCUUGAGGUAUGAGGCAAUAAUCUAACGAUUAUCAUCUUUCUUCUAUAUUCUAUAUUCAGUAAGUCAGCACUAAUUAUUUACUUUGCUCAAAGAUCCCAUUUGUUUCCACCACUGUCCAUCAUGGUAGAACAAAGCAUCAUUGUUUCUUUGACAUUAGUAUAUACGGGGGUGUGUGCAUGUGUGUCUGUCUGUCUGUCUGUCUGUCUGUCUGUCUAUCUGUAACAAUGGUAAUUUUUAAAGAAGUCAAGGAUUUAAGACAGAAUGAAGAGCAUGAGGAGAAUUAGAAGAGGAAAUGUAAGGUUAGAAAUGAUCUAGAGUACUUCUGUGUGGAAUCCUCUGAAAAUUUAUAUCACUACAACACGAUACUUUAAAGAAACAAUGUACAAGAAAUCAUGAUUUAUUUUGGCUCAGUAUCUGAGGUUUUAGCCUGUGCUCAAUCAGCUCCAUUGGUUCUGUGCUGCAAUGAUGAAGAGUAUCUUGCAGGUAAGCUGUUCAAUAGAGGAUGUGCUCACCUGAUGAAAAAAAAAGUACACAGAAAGAGAAGAGGAAAUAUGACUGAGAUGUGCACUACCAGGACCUGUGCCAUACCCCUUUCAACUAUGUCCCGUAUCAUAGUACUUACUACAUCUCUACAAAACCUUCAAAUUAUGAUUCUAUUAUUUUGUUGAGCCACUAAUGGUAUCAGCUGCUGGAUGCUUACCACUUUGUUUCUAUGUUGUUUUCUGAGAUUUUCAUACAUGAGUAUUGUAUUUAGAUUAUUUACAUCUCCCAUUCUCCUAAUUACACCUCUUUCCAUGCCCCCUACUCCAUACCAAAUCCAUGACUUCAUCAAAUAUUAUUUUUCAUAUAUGCACACACACACACACACACACACACACACACACACAGAGAGAGAGAGAGAGAGAGAGACAUAUGAGUGCAGCCUGCCAAGUUUAGUUAUCUUUGUUCAAAUUAUGUGUGUAUGUCUGCCAUUUCAGAUUAGGUAACCUAUUAAACUAGGCAUCCUCAAAGAAGAGUGGCAGGCCCCUCUCGCAGCAGUCCUGUCUGUAGCUUUUUCUUAGAGGAAUGGUGUCUUGUGAGAUUUUUCUGGUCCACACUGGCAUUUCAACUGGUAUCGCCACUGUACUGGUAUUGUUUAGGUGGCCCUGUUGUUGAGAUUUCGUAAUAAAGUUACUCCGAUAUGCAGAAGAUGUUAUGCCCCUGCCAAUAUCCUGGUGAUCUGACAAUUAACAGCAGUGCUGGCUGGGCACACCAUAGUCAGUAGUUCUCUCAUUUUGGCCAGUUUUCUGUAAAAAUCCUUGUCUAUUUCUGUAAUAAUUCUUGUCUGUUUCUGUAAUAAUCCUUGUCUUUUGCAAACAGAAAUGUUUGGAAAAGAAAGGAUUGAAGUAAGGGAUGAGAGCAACACUGAUCCUGGGUAUAAGGAUAAUUAUUUAGAAAUUAUCUGGUUUAAGAAAUUAUACUGGUGAGAAACAAAAACAAACAAACAAACAACAAAAAAAAAACAAAACCAAAAACAAACAAAUAAAAAAGAAGGCAGUGGCAGAUUAGUACCUGGGACUUAUAACCAUAUCAACCACGUCUGGGUUUUGUGUACAAGGCUUGAAUCCCCUUCUAUUGAAUGGUCUUAUAUCCAGUUAAAUGGCUGUUGGUUACUCUUAACAUAUUAUGAGCUACUAUUGCACCUUUAAGAACAUCUUGUUACACUGGUUAUUGGGGAAGCUAGUCUUUGCAGCUAGUUAGAACUAGGAUUCCUCUUCUCUCUUGGGAUCAUGCAUUGUAGCUUCAGUAGUAUGCUAUACCACGAUAACUAGUCCUCAGCGAGGAGGAUUUCACGUCAGUACCAGCUCAGUUCUUUCAAGUACUGUGUCUACUGUUUGAGGUUUCUUUAGCAGUAGAAUCUUGCAUUCAAGUUUUGGGAAGUAACUAAGUGUAAUGUGAAGAGUCUAUACUGUUUGGGGGAGUCUCUAAAUCCUCCCUGUUCAGCAGCUUGAAGGCAGGUUUCCCACAUCUGUCACUGAGGAAUUUGCUAUCUUCUCUAUGGCCCUGUGAGUGAAAAUUAUCAGCCAGUGUCAGGACUUCAUUUAAAUUGUAUCAUUUUGUAUCCAAAUUUAUUACAUACACUUUAAGUGAACAUAAAAUAUUUUCUUCCUCUAUGUUUCUUCAAAUACCCUUAGUCUCACCUAAUCUUCCUCUAUCCAUCUUCCUCCUUCCAUCUUACUUCUUUCUUCAUCAGAUAAAGCCAACCCCCACCCCCAUGUUUCCCCCUUCCUUACUUUAAGGCACAUGUGUCCUGCUUUCUACCUCGUUGCAGCUGACCCCUGCUUGUCUCUACUUAGUAUCCUGGAUAAUGUGGUUACUCCUUGCUAUAUAGUCAUCUAAGGAUUCUGAGCCACAUUACACACAUAGGAGAGAACUUGUGAUAUUUUUCUUUCUGCACAAGUCUCCCAUUUUCUAGUCCUAUACAUUCAACUAUACAUUUCAUUUUGCUCACAUUCUAGAAGUCCAUUAUUCCAUUGUGUUUAUGUAGCACCCUUAUCUGAUCAUCGGUUGAAGGACAGUCAGGUUGUGCUUAUUUCUAUGAUAUGAAUAAUCUAGUCAAUGGGCAUUACUGAGCAAUUCCCUGUGGAGGAAGUUGUCAAGUCCUUUGUGCAUAUGAUAAGGAGUAGAAUAGCUGAGUCUUGCUGAACUUCUAAUAAAACAUAGGCAGUACCCUACAAGAUACAGGCA